rnacentral:rRNA from 1 species
GUUAAGCGACUAAGCGUACACGGUGGAUGCCCUGGCAGUCAGAGGCGAUGAAGGACGUGCUAAUCUGCGAUAAGCGUCGGUGAGGUGAUAUGAACCGUUAUAACCGGCGAUUUCCGAAUGGGGAAACCCAGUGUGUUUCGACACACUAUCAUUAACUGAAUCCAUAGGUUAAUGAGGCGAACCGGGGGAACUGAAACAUCUAAGUACCCCGAGGAAAAGAAAUCAACCGAGAUUCCCCCAGUAGCGGCGAGCGAACGGGGAGGAGCCCAGAGCCUGAAUCAGUGUGUGUGUUAGUGGAAGCGUCUGGAAAGGCGUGCGAUACAGGGUGACAGCCCCGUACACAAAAAUGCACAUAUUGUGAGCUCGAUGAGUAGGGCGGGACACGUGGUAUCCUGUCUGAAUAUGGGGGGACCAUCCUCCAAGGCUAAAUACUCCUGACUGACCGAUAGUGAACCAGUACCGUGAGGGAAAGGCGAAAAGAACCCCGGCGAGGGGAGUGAAAAAGAACCUGAAACCGUGUACGUACAAGCAGUGGGAGCCUCUU